ensembl:lncRNA
UGAUGUUGUAUCAUGUCUGCGUUGUGGAGGUUGUAGUGAUGUCUGUGUUGUGGAGGUUGUAGUGAUGUUGUAUCAUGUCUGUGUUGUGGAGGUUGUAGUGAGGUUGUGAUGUUGUAUCAUGUCUGUUGUGAAGGUUGUAAUGAUGUUGUAUCAUGUCUGUGUUGUGGAGGUUGUAGUGAUGUUGUGGAGGUUGUAGUGAUGUUGUAUCAUGUCUGUUGUGGAGGUUGUAGUGAGGUUGUAGUGAUGUUGUAUCAUGUCUGUGUUGUGGAGGUUGUAGUGAUGUUGUAUCAUGUCUGUGUUGUGGAGGUUGUAGUGAUGUUGUAUCAUGUCUGUGUUGUGGAGGUUGUAGUGAUGUUGUAUCAUGUCUGUUGUGGAGGUUGUAGUGAUGUUGUAUCAUGUCUGUGUUGUGGAGGUUGUAGUGAUGUUGUAUCAUGUCUGUGUUAUUUAGGUUGGGGGUGUUGUUCACUCCUCUGCUUCCUGCUGUACAGAUCAUCAAACUACUGCUUCUCUUCUACAUGAAGCAGGUAGGUUCUCCUCUGUUCUGAUCACUGUGCCAUGAUCACACUGGUAACUUCUCUUCUACAGGAAGCAGGUAGGUACACCUCUGUUCUGAUCACUGUGCCAUGAUCAUACUGGUAACUUCUCUUCUACAGGAAGCAGGUAGGUACACCUCUGUUCUGAUCACUGUGCCAUGAUCAUACUGGUAACUUCUCUUCUACAUGAAGCAGGUAGGUACACCUCUGUUCUGAUCACUGUGCCAUGAUCAUACUGGUAACUUCUCUUCUACAGGAAGCAGGUAGGUACACCUCUGUUCUGAUCACUGUGCCAUGAUCAUACUGGUAACUUCUAUUCUACAUGAAGCAGGUAGGUACACCUCUGUUCUG